GUCAGGAUGGCCGAGUGGUCCAAGGCGCCAGACUCAAGGAUGACUACCUUCCACACCAGGGGUUUCUGGUCUCCAGAUGGAGGCGUGGGUUCAAAUCCCACUCCUGACA
rnacentral:tRNA from 1 species